rnacentral:tRNA from 1 species
CCUGGCUGGCUUAGUCAGCGGAGUAUAUAGUUUUUGAACUCAGAGUUUUGAUUUCAAGCCCCAUAUUGGAUG